rnacentral:rRNA from 1 species
AUGGGGGAAACCCUGAUGCAGCAACGCCGCGUGAGGUAUGAAGGCCUUUGGGUGUGUGAAGCCUCUGUCCUAGGGGAAGAAAAAAAUGACGGUACCCGAAGCCCCGGCUAACUACGUGCCAGCAGCCGCGGUAAUACGUAGGGGGCAAGCGUUAUCCGGAAUUAUUGGGCGUAAAGAGUGCGUAGGUGGUCUACUAAGCGCGAGGUGAAAGGCAAUGGCUCAACCAUUGUUAGCCUUGUGAACUGGCAGACUUGAGUGCAAGAGAGGAAAGCGGAAUUCCUAGUGUAGCGGUGAAAUGCGCAGAUAUAGAGGAACACCGGCGGCGAAGGCGGCUUUCUGGAUUGUAACUGACACUGAGGCACGAAAGCGUGGGUAGCAAACAGGAUUAGAUACCCUGGUAGUCCACGCCGUAAACGAUGAGCACUAGGUGUCGGACAUGAGUCUCGGUGCCGCAGUUAACGCCAUAAGUGCUCCGCCUGGGGAGUACGCACGCCAGUGUAAAACUCAAGGAAUUGACGGGGACCGCACAGCAGCGAGCAUGU